rnacentral:rRNA from 1 species
AACGAACGCUGGCGGCAGGCUUAACACAUGCAAGUCGAACGGGCGUAGCAAUACGUCAGUGGCGCACGGGUGAGUAACACGUGGAUAUCUGCCUUUUGGUUCGGAAUAACCCUGGGAAACUAGGGCUAAUACCGGAUGGAUCCUACGGGAUAAAGAUUUAUCGCCAAGAGAUGAGUCCGCGUCCGAUUAGCUAGUUGGUGAGGUAAUGGCUCACCAAGGCAACGAUCGGUAGCUGGUCUGAGAGGACGAUCAGCCACACUGGGACUGAGACACGGCCCAGACUCCUACGGGAGGCAGCAGUGGGGAAUAUUGGACAAUGGGGGCAACCCUGAUCCAGCCAUGCCGCGUGAGUGAUGAAGGCCUUCGGGUUGUAAAGCUCUUUUGGCAGGGACGAUGAUGACGGUACCCGCAGAAUAAGCCCCGGCUAACUUCGUGCCAGCCGCCGCAGUAAGAC